rnacentral:tRNA from 2 species
GGAGAGGUAGCGAAGUUCGGCCGUAACGCGCUCGACUCGAAAUCGAGUUAUCCCAGAGAUGGGAUACGUGGGUUCGAAUCCCACCCUCUCCGCCA